GGUGGAGCUAAUCCCAGAAAGCCGAUCUAAGUUCAGAUUGGGGUCUGCAACUCGACCCCAUGAAGUUGAAAUCGCUAGUAAUCGCAUAUCAGCAACGAUGCGGUGAAUACGUUCUCGGACCUUGUACACACCGCCCGUCACACCAUGAGAGCUGUUUGUACCCGAAGCCAUUUUAGCCAACUCGAAAGAGAGGCGGAUGUCUAAGGUAUGAGGAGUGAUUGGGGUGAAGUCGUAACAAGGUAGCCGUAGGAGAACCUGCGGCUGGAUCACCUCCUUU
rnacentral:rRNA from 1 species